AGGGUUUGAUUCUGGCUCAGGAUGAACGCUGGCGGCGUGCUUAACACAUGCAAGUCGAACGGACUUUAUAUGAAGCCUAGCGAUUAUAAAGUUAGUGGCGGACGGGUGAGUAACGCGUGAAUAACCUGCCCUGUACCGGGGGACAACAGUUGGAAACGGCUGCUAAUACCGCAUAAGCGCACGGUUCCGCAUGGAACAGUGUGAAAAACUCCGGUGGUACAGGAUGGAUUCGCGUCUGAUUAGCCAGUUGGUGGGGUAACGGCCUACCAAAGCAACGAUCAGUAGCCGGCCUGAGAGGGUGAACGGCCACAUUGGGACUGAGACACGGCCCAA
rnacentral:rRNA from 1 species